CAAUCAUUUAAGGUGUGAACCAUAGCUUUAAAUAAAGUUAAAUAUUAAAGGUGUUCAUAUGUUAUGCAAGCCAAACAUAUGAACAGAGUAAACAUAUGGACCGAGUUUAGUGUAAUCAAAUAUAACACAAACAGGUUCAUCUAGUUCAUUAAAUUCUAUCUGUGCAUUCCUUUAACAGAUACUGGUUGAACACCUACUAUGAACCAGGCACAGUGCUUUGCUGGGGGUACACAGAUGAUUGAAACACUGGUCUCCGCUUCAAAGAGCUAAUGGGAGAGGAAGAGGACAUUAGAAUAUGGACAUUCAACAGAGGGAAGACCAUGUCAGGACACAGUGAGAAGAGGCCAUCUAUAAGCCAAGGAGAGAGGCGUCCAAAGGAGCCAAUCCUGCCAACACUUUGA
rnacentral:lncRNA from 1 species